CCGAGUACCUGUACCCUUUUUGGGUACUUACUCCCACCAUUUGUGAACCUUUUUCGUUGCCUCGGCGGACCGAUGGUACCCCCAUCCUUCGGCGUAAAAGUUGAAGAGUGUUCGCCAGAGGAUUUUCAAACCAGUCUUAAUUGUGAAAUCUGAGUUUAAUCAAAAUAAAAACA
rnacentral:misc_RNA from 1 species